rnacentral:rRNA from 1 species
AGUGAACGCUGGCGGCAGGCCUAAUACAUGCAAGUCGAACGGCAGCACAGUGGAGCUUGCUCCAUGGGUGGCGAGUGGCGGACGGGUGAGGAAUACAUGGGAAUCUGCCCAGUCGUGGGGGAUAACGUAUGGAAACGUACGCUAAUACCGCAUGCGCCCUAAGGGGGAAAGCCGGGGACCGCAAGGCCUGGCGCGAUUGGAUGAGCCCAUGUUCGAUUAGCUAGUUGGCGGGGUAAAGGCCCACCAAGGCGACGAUCGAUAGCUGGUCUGAGAGGAUGAUCAGCCACACUGGAACUGAGACACGGUCCAGACUCCUACGGGAGGCAGCAGUAGGGAAUAUUGGACAAUGGGGGCAACCCUGAUCCAGCCAUGCCGCGUGAGUGAAGAAGGCCCUCGGGUUGUAAAGCUCUUUUGUCCGGAAAGAAAAGCAAUCGGUUAAUACCCGGUUGUUCUGACGGUACCGGAAGAAUAAGCACCGGCUAACUUCGUGCCAGCAG